rnacentral:rRNA from 1 species
UAGUCUGCAACUCGACUACAUGAAGCUGGAAUCGCUAGUAAUCGCGAAUCAGAAUGUCGCGGUGAAUACGUUCCCGGGUCUUGUACACACCGCCCGUCACACCAUGGGAGUCAGUAACGCCCGAAGUCAGUGACCUAACCGAAAGGGAGGAGCUGCCGAAGGCGGGACGGAUGACUGGGGUGAAGUCGUAACAAGGUAUC